AUUGAACGCUGGCGGCAUGCCUUACACAUGCAAGUCGAACGGCAGCACGUGUGCUUGCACCUGGUGGCGAGUGGCGAACGGGUGAGUAAUACAUCGGAACAUGUCCUGUAGUGGGGGAUAGCCCGUCGAAAGCCGGAUUAAUACCGCAUACGAUCUACGGAUGAAAGCGGGGGACCUUCGGGCCUCGCGCUUUGGGGUUGGCCGAUGGCUGAUUAGCUAGUUGGUGGGGUAAAGGCCUACCAAGGCGACGAUCAGUAGCUGGUCUGAGAGGACGACCAGACACACUGGGACUGAGACACGGCCCAGACUCCUACGGGAGGCAGCAGUGGGGAAUUUUGGACAAUGGGCGAAAGCCUGAUCCAGCAAUGCCGCGUGUGUGAAGAAGGCCUUCGGGUUGUAAAGCACUUUUGUCCGGAAAGAAAUACUUGGCCCUAAUACGGUCGGGGGAUGACGGUACCGGAAGAAUAAGCACCGGCUAACUACGUG
rnacentral:rRNA from 1 species